ensembl:lncRNA
AGCUCAGGGAUAGGAUUGUGACCCAAUCAAAGCUAAUGAGAUGCAUUGGGACUCUCUGGGACUACUGGGAGUGAGGCUGAAACUCAUUUUCACCUGACUUCAGUCAAGGAACACCUGAACCUAGAGCUACAACCCCACACGGUGGGGGUGGGGAGGCUAUCAGAGGCAGCGCCAAUGUUCAAGAAGUAAAAGAGGGAAGGAGAGACAGCCUUGCCUAGUAAUAUAAUACCUUGAUCAGCUCCCUCUUGGACUACUACGUUAAGUGAACUAAGAUUUCUCUGUCUCUUUUUUUAAAGAUUUUAUUUUUCCUUUUUCUCCCCAAAGUCCUCCAGUACAUAGUUGUGUAUUUUUAGUUGUGGGUCCUUCUAGCUGUGGCAUGUGGGACACUGCCUCAGCAUGGCUUGAUGAGCGGUGCCAUGUCCACGCCCAGGAUUUGAACUGGUGAAACCCUGGCCUGCCGAAGCAGAGCGCAAGAACUUAACCACUUGGCCAUGGGGCCAGCCCCUAAGAUUUCUCUUUUGCUUGAUCUGGUUUGGGUUGGCCUCUUCUUAUGCCUCCUUGGCUUCCAGGAGAGCAAUUAAAGAGCUUUUCCUCUAGCUUCACUGAAGAAGAUUAAGCUGGGUAAUCCCAGAGAGGAUGGAGGUUUUGACUCAUAAAGAAAGAGUGACAUGCAAGGCCAACGACAGAAUAUACCUUCUCUAAGGCCUGUAAAGCCAUUCCCACUGGACAGAGGCAAGAUUGUUAAGAUUCCAUGCAAAGUGACCAUCAGCUGGCAGGGUCUAUACCAGAGGGCAUCAGAGAAAGAAAGAAAAAACUGGUCUCUGAGGUGUGAACAGUUCAAAAACAGUAAAUAAAUGGAGAGUGAAGUGGGAUUAUUUUUAUUAACUUUCAAACUCAAAGACCUUUAUCAAAAUCAGAUCUUAUAGAAGAGGGAGUAGGGACACUUGGCCGGAUGCCUCUUCCACAACCCUCAUCCCUCACCUUCAAGGUAAACAAGGAAGAAGGAAAAAGAAAUAGCAAAGAGGGAGAGAGAAAAACCGACUUUCCUUCAGCGAGGACCACGCUCCUCUCAGAAAGGGGCCAGGCUUUCAAGGGCCUCUGAUGCAGGAAGGUAGAGGGUAGCUCGGUCUCCUGCAAAUGCAGUCCACUCUCUCAAGCUGAGAUGACAUCUGAGGACAAACCAGAGGCAAUAAGUGGAGGAGCUAGCUUCAGAGUGAUUACUUCUCAAGCUGGAGGAAGAUUAACCCUGAGCUAACUACUGCCCAUCCUCCUCUUUUCGCUGAGGAAGACUGGCCCUGAGCUAACAUCUGUGCCUACCUUCCUCUACUUUAUACAUGGGACGCCUACCACAGCAUGGCUUUUGCCAAGCAGUGCCAUGUCUGCACCUGGGAUCCCAACUGGCGAACCCCGGGCCACCAAAGCAGAACGUGUGCACUUAACCACUGCGCCACCUGAGCUGGCCCUGACUCAGUUUCUUAAGCUAAAGUGAUGGACUGGCUUAUGUUACUAGGAACCUCAGGGUGGAUCCAGCACUUAAACAAGGAAACUCUCUCUCUCUCUGCUCUCUAUGUGAGUCACCGUAUUCCUUUGCAGACGGGGUAUUCCUCCAGAUGAACAUCCAGAGGCAAGGGGAAGGCUUCUCAGCUGGGUCUAGUGGAAGGAAGAUUCAGGGAGGGACUCUGCCUCUGCUUGGACUACUUAGUUUCCCCUGAAACUGUUGCCCAGGGAAGGCGCACCAUGACUAACAAGCAGGGUUUAUGCACCUGGGUGGUGGGUAGGUUCUGAUACUAGACAGGGAGAGGGAGAAACACAUGCUGGGUCACCAAAAUCAACAGCUA